UUUUCUUUCUUUUUUUUUUUUUUUUUUUUUGAGAUGGAGUCUUGCUGUGUCACCCAGGCUGGAGUGCAGUGGCAUAAUCUUGGCUGACUGCAAGCUCUGCAUUCCGGGUUCAAGAGAUUCUCCUCCCUCAGCCUUCCCAGUAGCUGGGAUUACAGGCAGCUGCUCCCAACCCCAGCAACUUUGCUAUCUUAGAACGGAUCACCAGUGAAAGAGGGGAAGUUGCUACUGUGAUGAAUUCUGCCAUGUGGUACCAGACUGCUGCCCAGACCACAGUGUCCUCUGCAACCCUGCUUCUCAGAUGACCAAGAUGGUGCUGCCGAUGGUGUUGAGGACGGAGAACCCACCAAGCCC
rnacentral:lncRNA from 1 species